rnacentral:tRNA from 1 species
GCUCCCGUAGCUCAGCCCGGAUAGAGCGACCGCCUCCUAAGCGGUAGGCCAAGGGUUCAAAUCCCUUUGGGAGCGCCA